rnacentral:misc_RNA from 1 species
GAUGAAGAACGCAGCGAAAUGCGAUAAGUAAUGUGAAUUGCAGAAUUCAGUGAAUCAUCGAAUCUUUGAACGCACAUUGCGCCCGCCAGUAUUCUGGCGGGCAUGCCUGUUCGAGCGUCAUUUCAACCAUCAAUCCCCCGGCUUGUGUUGGGGACCUGCGGCUGCCGCAGGCCCUGAAAAGCAGUGGCGGGCUCGCUGUCACACCGAGCGUAGUAGCAUACAUCUCGCUCUGGGCGUGCUGCGGGUUCCGGCCGUUAAACCACCUUCAUAACCCAAGGUUGACCUCGGAUCAGGUAGGAAGACCCGCUGAACUUAAGCAUAUCAAUAAGCGGAGGA